CCAGGACCCAUGCCCCAAACACAUAUGACCCUACCCUGUCUCUAUACUCACGCGAAUAGGCCCCAGAAACACAUGAACCCUAAAUCUAACGGUCAUUGUUCUUCCUCUCUAAAGAACAAGUGAACCAAACCAAAUAUUCCUUCCAAAUCCAUGGCGAGUGAGCCUCAAAUCUCUUCACACGCAUUCCUCCUUCUCUCCCCAUCACUAUUUCUAACGAUUUCUGACACCGAAGAUUCUCCUUCCCUUUACUCGCUCGAUUUGGAGAUAAGGCAUGUGAUUGGAAGGUCCUAGAGACGUUUCGUUAGAUGAGUGUGAGACCUUGGAUUGAUUUCGUUCAAUCCAAGCCCCCCAUUCAUCAAGGGGUCAUUUUUAUAAAGGACCAUAUCCGAUUCUGGAAAAUUUGGGAAGAAAAAAAGGUUUAAAGGGUUCUAAAAAGUCCUUCUUCUUCUUCUUUACUAUUCAGCUUAGUUUAAUUUCAGUUACUAAAAAGAAAAAUACAAAAAAUAUGAUUUUCAUUUUGGUGUUUAAUCUGAGUCUCUUUGUUCUCUGUAUUUGGAAAUUAGAAAAUUUUCAUUCUUCACAUGGUGAAUCUGGUUUGAACCUGAAGUGUGAAUUUGUUGUUCUGAUUUUUUUUUUUGAGUUAAUGGAAGUCAACUGAGUGUUGUUGGUUUUGAGUUGCUCCAAAGCUGUUCGCUUAGCUACUGACUCGCGAGUUCAUUGCGAUCUUUGUUUGGACUUACUUCCUCUGAGAAUCGUUGUAACCCUUUAAUUGCAUUAAUCAAACUUUAUUUUAAGGUUCACUUCCAAACUCUUUUAUUUUGCUAUAUUACAUGAGCUGAAAUGUUUGUUUAUUUCAACCGAUUGCUAGAAAACUGAGAAGUAAAACAUCACUGAACAAAUUUACGAUGCUGGGAUGAGCUUUGAGUUAGUAUUCUGCAUUUUUCUGUCCGUUUCUUAAUGGUUCGAGUCUGAAACUUUCCUAACUCAUCUUUUGCUAAAAAUCCAUUUGUGCUUCUUUGACGUGAUUUGGAAAUUGGCUCAUGUUCAUGUUUGAAUCACUGCGGGCUAUGUUCAUGAGUCGAUUCCCAAACUUCUGUUAAUUGUUACUAACUGUUGCUAAAGUAAUUUGGAAAUUCGAUGUUAUAGUUUAAUGGAAAUGUGUAUUUGUUGUUGGAUUGAUUUAGUUGAAAUUAAGUCACAAUUGGUCCGAUUACUCAAGUCUGUUAGUAUUUCAAUCCUCUCUGUCAUGCUCUUGCACUGAUUUAUACCAGUUUUUUGUUAUUAUUUGCAAAUUAAAGAUAAUCCCAAAUAGUGAUAUACCUCUUUCCAGUUGUGCAAUUGAGUUAAGUGUCAAUUGAAUUUUGGAAUUGUUUUUUAGCAUUCACUGAUUGUAUAUGUUCGUAUUGGCUCUAUUUUCCUUCUCUUGUUCGAGACUUGCCUGCCUUUUUACCAUUAUGAGAGUUCUGUUCUUCCGAGCUGUUGAAGAAGCCAAUUAGAGCAGGUAGUAUUUAGGAUAUUUGUCUGGACUGUUGGGCCCUGCUGUAAGUCUUCCUUGCUUUGCAGUUGGCUAGGCAAUCUCUUUGCACGAUGUCAAAUGCAAAAUUCUGCACCGGUUGACUUGUAGCAUCCUUGAUUAUUCUUUGUUCAUGUUCUAUAGUCAUCAUCCUUGAUACAUCUGUUAUGGCAUUCACAAUGUGCAUGUGAUGUUUCUGUUUAAUGCUUAUUGACAUCAAGUUUCUUAAUGAACCAACAUGCCUAUUAAAUUUAAUAAAGUGGGACAUAGGGUGAUUAAGGAAGCGGUUCAGGGUCAAAUAUAUCCUUGUACUAUUAAAAAUAGGCCAUAUUCAU
rnacentral:lncRNA from 1 species